CCGCGGUGUGAACUGCAGGACACAUGAACACCGAUAAGUUGAACGCAUACGGCACAUCGUGCGACACAGCUCGAUGUACAUAUCUUUGAGCGUCCAUGUU
rnacentral:rRNA from 1 species